rnacentral:tRNA from 1 species
AGCUUUUCUCAGACCAGGAUCUGAGACACUAGUGGCUACGCCAACACAGGCAAAAAUAAUGCAUGCACUUGGCCAUCUCAGUUCUGCACUUAUGAAGUUGGUCUCUUUCUUUCUUUCUUUCUUUUGGUGAUGUGCAGAAGCUUGAUGUGGGAUCUCAGUUCCCAGACCAGGGACUGAACCUGGGCUGAAGCAGUGAAAGCACUGAAUCUAACCACUAGACCAGCAGGGAACUAUAAAGUUGGUCUUAGUGUUCUUUUUAGAGCAGAAUUCCUUAACCUGUUGUCCGAAAACAUGAAUGACAGAGAACCCAAGAAAUCCUGGAAACUGUAUGCAUAAUUACACAUGCAUAUUUGGGCAGAGUUUAUUGCUUUUGUCAGAUUCUCAAAGGUAUUUGUGAACCUAAAAGUAAAAGACUGCAUCUCUAAAGUAUUUUCAAAAGAAUCACAUUUCUUCAUUAAUUCAAUAAAUAUAUAUUGAUAUUACAAUGUGAGACAGGCAUUUUUUUGAGGCUGAGUUACAGCUGUGAACCAGACAGAUUCUUCUUUUAUUGAACUUACAUACCAAAGAGAGCCACAUUUCAUAAGAAAUGUCAUGGAAAUCAGUGAGAGAAAACACAAUGAAAGCAAAAUGCUCAGAUUCUAAUCUCAUAUUACACAUAUGUUACCCAAGAAUAUACAGUGGAGAAGUCAGUCCCAGGGUUCUUAUUUAUGUAGACUCAAGGAUCUGGACAGUUGACCUAAUUUUUCACUUUUCACUAGACUCUUUACACGUUGUAGACAUAACUGUGGUGUCUUAAAUGAUUUAGUUUCCUCAUUGUAAAUGAUCUUGCAGCUUUCAGACUCUUUGAAUACUCUGAAAUAAUGCAUCUUGGUACAAGGCAGUUUUAGUAUGGUUGGAACCUGACCAUUUGCAGAAGCUCUGACCCCACUGUGAACGCCUUUGCUCUUUCUUUUGCGUUUAUUUUGCUGUGGACCUGCUGGUCCAGGCUAUCGUUAACUGCCACUGGAUGGAGCUGUGGCAUCAGGCAAAUGAUCUUUCUAUAGAUUCAAGAUAAUCUGUCUGACUAGCAGCCAUCAAUUUGCUUAGCUAUGCUAGGUAAAAGCUGUUGAUUUCCUCCAGUUUGAGAGUGCAAAUUUUCUUCUUAUUUGGCUACAUUAACUGAUUUCUUUUGCAGUCUUAGGACACUUUAAAAAAAAUUAAAGAUGUUAAUUUUGUUUUGAUAAUUUCAUGACACCUUUCAAGGUUGAUUGAGAAAUCCUGGAGUGUUGCAAACCAAUACCAGUAAUUGCUAGUAUAGGUGUACUGAUGCUGCUGACAGGUGCUUUAUACAACCUUAAUAAGAAAUGGCAUGACAUAAGCUCUCCUUACACUGGGAACCAUUCAGUGGUUUUCUGUUGCCUUGAGAUAAAUCGAAGAAGUUGUGUAUUGAAACAUUUCUCAAGUUUUACCAAUGUUUAUGUAGUGGAAACUGUGCCCAGGAGAAUCAGUGUCAUUUUUAACACCAUAUCAGAAAGCUUUCAGUUUAUCUGUCACAUUCUAUUAUCUGUCUCUUUCUAUCCAUAAUCUAUCUCUCUUAACCACUCUCUAUGAAUGGAAGAAUUUUUCCAUGAAAAAUAUUAUUUCUAUAAUCACCUACCAAAUUAUUCAUUCCUUCAUUGCCCAUAUUGAACCAAGAAUGAGUAUCUUAACCAAAAACUGAUAUGACUAAGAGAACAUAUAAAUCGUGAGUUAUAGCUAUUAUUUCAUUUAUACCAUCAUUAAUUUAAGAUAUGACCCAGCCGAAUACAGCCUUUCCUCUCCCCAUAUUCUUUUCCUCUCUAGUUUUUAUCAUCCUUUAUUUGUAAGAGUGGUGUCUCAGAUCAGAGGCACACUCAAGGAUUGACCAGCCAAUGGUAAUGUGUAUUUUUAUAUUCCCCUGAUUGAAUUGAACUGGAAAUUUUGUGGUUUUGGAUCAGAAAUCAUUGUUAGCAUUCUCUAAACACAUUUUUCAAUACUAUUUCUAGACUUUUCUUUCUUCCUUUUUUUUGGUCUUUUAUUUUUAGGGCUGCACCCGCAGCAUAGACUUUACUUUCUUAUUUUUAAAGGAAUUAGUGGCGAAUUUUCCAUAAAACUGUUCAAUUAAAACAUUUUUUGAACAUAUAUACUGUAUAUAUACCACUUAUGACUUUGGAAUGUAAAGAUUUUUAUAAAAAAUCAAAAUCAAUUUUACUUCUUCACUCUUGUUGAUUUUUCUAGUUGCUUGCUUUCCUUGAAGGAGAUGAAAAGAAAUGUUUUCUUAAUGUUAAAAGUUACCAUGGCACCUUCACAAAGAAAGAGUAAAUUCUCAUUUGAAAGGCAUGUUUAGAAAAUUUGAACAACGUAUUUUGUGACUAUAAUAUCACUUCCCUGGAUUGUAGGGUAAAAUAAAAACACGUCUGUCCAAUUCACUGAUUCUUUUUUGACCGAUUUACUUAUUAGAUGCCACAGAUAACAUUUGUUGAAAAGACAGUGGAAUAUAUAGGCAGAACAUGUUUUUUUUUGUUGGACAGACUUGACAUUGAACUCUAAUUCCAGCUCUUACUGAAUUUGUCUGAUUAUAGACAAGAAGGAUCUGAAACUUCUGGAAUAUUAGCCCAAGACAUUUGUACUUAACAGGAAAUAUCUUAAUAGGCAUCACUGAUGGAUUCUUGAGAUAACAAAAGAUAUAACUGGAAUAUGUUUCUGUUUGUUAUUUCUCCAAAGUUCCCAGUGUAAGUGUGUCAUCGGGAAUAGGGCAUAUGUCCAUAUCUUGGCUGCCACUGGGCAGAGAAUUCCCUUUGCUCUUGGAUAAUAAAAGGUGAGGAUUUGGAGUUUGGGAUUAAUAUAAACACACUACUGUAUAUAAAGUAGAUAAAGAACAAGGACCUACUGUAUAGCUCAGGGAACUAUACUUGAUAUCUUGCAAUAACCUAUAAUGGAAAAGAAUCUGAAAAAUAACAUAUAUAUGUAUAUAUAACUGAAUCGCUUUGCUGUACACUUGAAACUAACACAAUGUUGUAAAUUAACUACACUUCAAUUAAAAAAAAAAGGUGAAGACUCUGUAUACUGCCAAUAAUACAGGAAACAGAAAAGAAGGCAUGGAUGUGAGAGAGACUGUGGUGGUAGCUAAAGGGUUUGGCGUCUGGCUGGGCAUGGUGAGGAGAUGGAGAAAGAAUGACAUAACAAAAGGUAAGGCAUGAUGUAAACCAGAAAAAUGUUUGAACUUUCAGUCAAGAACUCAUUGUGGACCCUGAAAAGUGCAGCUAAAUAGAGUAACAGCACAAUGCCUCUCUUUCAAACUUCCUACUUAGACUCCUGCUGCUUAUUAUAGAUUUUCACGUUUAUCAACAUCAUCUAUAAUUUAUAGUCAGUGUGAAGUGUAUUAACACUGUUCUCCAUUUUGCAUGGGCGUGUGAUCAUGAUGCAAGACCUUUUAUUGUUUAACUCUACAGGGUUGGGAAUAUUGAAAAUGAAACACAGAGGUAGAUUUUACAAUUGCUGGAUUACAAUAUGCAUUGAAUUUACAUCUUUGCCAGGGCCCUGUCCAGUGUUCUUUGUGUGUUAGUUUUCUUGCUUAAACUAGAAAGACAGCAACUUGAGUAUAAGGGCAUUUUAAGGACCUCAAGUUUCCUUGUUGUCACCCAUUAUAUUCAGACAACGCUUGGCACACAGGUCUAAACAGCUCUUGUUUGACAGUAGUAGACAUGCAGUGGGGGUCUUAACAUCUACUGCAUCUCAGACCUACUUCCUUUAAGUGUAAUGAGCUGUACCGUAAUUGCAGCCAUCAUAAUUAUUUGUAUAAAUGUCUAUUUCCCAAUGAGGGUAAGGAGUCUUUGAGGAUGUGUCUUAUUCACCCUUGAAUACAUAGUACUUAAAGUUCACAGUAUCUGUUAUAGUUACUUACAUUUGGGUGUUCUUGUCAAGCUUUAUCUUCCUGAGCCAGUGCUGUUGGCAGGGUUGUUCUUCAGCCAUGAAUAUUGGGGCAAUGGACUCUGGGCUCAUAUUUCCUAUCUGGUUUCAUUUGUUUUCUGUGCAUCCUAGGGAUUCAGUAGUGUUUACUGAACAAAGAAAUAAAGAUGGAGAGGCCACACGGCGAUUAUCUCCUCUUGCUUAUGGCUGUAAGUAUCACUAAACAGUCAUCAAAUUGAAAGUGAACCCCGAGAGAUAUGUUUUCCUUCUAAUGACUAUUAAUUUGGUAAUUAAGAAUGGACUUCUGGGAGUUCCCAUGGUGGCUCAGUGGAAACGAGUCUGACUAGCAUCCAUGAGGAUGCAGGUUUGAUCCCUGGCCUCGCUCAGUGGGUCAAGGAUCCAGCAUUGCCUUGAGCUGUGGCGUAGGUCGAAGAUGCAGCUCAGCUCCCACAUGGCUAUAGCUGUGGCUGUGGCUGUGGCAUAGGCUAGUAGCUACAGGCUACAGCUCUGAUUCAACCCCUAGCCUGGGAACCUUCAGAAGCUGCAGGUGCAUCCCUAAAAAAGAAAAGAAAUGAAUUCUGAAAAUUUUGUUCUGUAAUAUAGAAUUUCCAUAUGGCCACACAUAAUUGAUGCUAUACUUUAAUCUAGAAGAGGCCAUUUAGGAGUUCGGUAUGAAAUGCUUUCCAUUUAAGGGCUCCGUAAAGAUUCAAAGGAUUAAGAUUUAAAGAUUUAAUACUCCUAGCUAAGUUGCACAUGACUCAUACUCUGAAAUGUUUCCCAUUAGGAAUAAAAUUGAUCUUGUGGGACUUGGAUUCUUUUCCAAGUGACUUUUAUGCUUUCAAAAGCCACUAGUACUCCAUUUUAUUCUUUCAGUGUAACUUUGUGCUAACAAACUUAAAAAUUUAUCCAUACGAUUAUAAAUGGCUAAUAAUCACUAAAGUGACACUCUCAAACAAAGAAAAAUGAGGAAUAAUAGCUUCUCAGUUCUUGCUGGUCCCAAAUAGUAGUUUGGAAAAAUGGGUAUGAGUGUGGGAAAUAGCUUAUGCCAAAAUAUACAGCUCAACAAAACCAGGGUAAAUAGAGAAAGAAAAGCUGAUACUUCAUUUAUAAGGAACUACAGCCUGUACGCUCCACUGCUGUCUAAUGCCAUGAGCCAUUUAGGAACUGUCUCAAAGCUAGAGCUUGAGAAAAUGCAGUUGGCUAAGACUGCCUAUGUUAAUGGCCUUCAGGCACCCAGUUUUGUGACUUAGUUGAAGAAGGUGGAAAUUGACUAGUCAAUUAAUUUGGUGUGGUAAUUAGGUUCUUAACUGCUUUUCCUAAAUUUGUCUAAUUUUAAUUGAAGGUUGUUAUCCCAGUCUACAAAACCCAAGAAUGUGUAAGGAGAGUUCUUAAAUAUGUGAAAAAUUGUGUUUUCUUCCUCCGUUUCUUAAAAACAACUCUCAUUGAGAUUAAUGUAACUUUGCACUAGGGAAAGCUUUGCUGUCUUUUGGAAAUGCAUUUUUCCCAAUGCUCCUAUAUUUAAUCCUUUCAUAGCAUGCCGUUUAUCUUUAACUUUGCUUGUAAGAAGUCACUUAUAUUUUUCUUAAGAUUCUGAGACUUACCAGAUCAUAAAGAUUCAUAGAAAGCUGUUUGUCAGCCUUUAAAGUCCUGGCUUUGAUUUUGGGAACUCUGUUUUUUUUCCACUUCUUAUUAACAGUCUGAUAAGACAGAUAUCUUAUGAUAAUUGUGGUGGGAAAUUUUUAUUUUUAAGUUAUUUUAAAUUGCACCAAAUAACCCUUUAAACACUUUAAUUACCUUAGCGCCAUCUUGUGGACCAAUUAUAUAGUUGGAGGGAUCAAACCCAUUAAUACUAGUAAACUAUAUGUAAUAAUUUUUUAUUUUUGUUAGGAUGCAGACCUUAAGAUUCUUUCAAUAUAAUUGCAAAAUUAAUUCUUGUAUUCUACUAUAUUACUCAAAAAUUUAAAAUAUUCCAUAGUUAUUUUUAGGAGGCAAUCCAAAGGUUAACCUGAUAAAUCUGAGAUUUUUGUAAUAAAUAAUUCAAACCAAGACCAGCCAGUAGAAACAGAUGGUGCUUCUGGAAGAACUUGAAAAUUUUCCACUCUUAAAUGAACAUAAACCUUCUGCCUGAAGCUGUGCAACUACACGGACUUAUGAGCAUGCCUGUAAAUCUAUGUGGUUACUUUUUUUGUGGUUUCAAGUCACAUUCUUUUAAUUUUAUGCCUCUCAAGGUAUGGAAAGCAGAGGCUAACUCAAAACACAAGAGAACAAGUUCUGGUUAUUCUCAGUUUGUAGUGCUAUCUUUCCUCUUCCUGUGAUUGCUUCCUGCUUCUCUGUUUUGCAUGUGAAACUGUGUAUUCCAGUAAAGGACAAAAGACAUUUUAGCAAGCUUUUAUUAUACUUAAGCCUGGAUUUAACUCCCUAAAUAACUGAAUAGGCAUAUAAUCCUAUGGAUUUCUUAAGAUAGUGAGUUGAGUCUGGAUGGAUUAUGACAUUUUUUUCCCUGAGUCUUUUCAAAUGAUUAGUAACACUUCUAUGGACAAUUGUAUUUGGAGGUAGCACUGGUUUAGGUGAAUAAUCUGAAGCAAAGAGAAAAUAAAUCUG